ensembl:lncRNA
GUGGUUUCUCUUCGAGAAUCCCCGAUUUAACACGAAAAUCACGCGUUUUCUCUUCGCAAAUCCCCGAUUUAUCACGAAAAUUACGCGUUUUCUCAUCGAGAAACCCCCAUUAACUCGAAAAUCACGCGUUUUCUAUUCGGAAAUCCGCCAUUUAAGCGAAAAUCACACGUUUUCCUUUGAGAAGCUCACAUUUAAGCGAAGAUCAAGUGCUUUCUUUUCAAGAAUCCCCCAUUAUACCCAAAAAAUCACGCGUUUUCUCUUUAUAAUCCCCCAUUUAACCCGAAAAUCACACGUUUCCUAUUCGCAAAUCCCCCAUUUAAGCGAAAAUCACGCGUUUUCUCUUUGAGAAUCCCCCAUUUAAGCGAAAAUCACGCGUUUUCUCUUUGAGAAUCCCCCAUUUAACCGAAAAUCACGCGUUUUCUCUUCGAGAAUCCCCCAUUUAACCCGAAAAUCACGUUUUCU